AGUGGGCCCAGGUCGCAGUUGAAAAAUGACAACUUGUUCUCAACUGGCCUACCUGGUUAAGUAAAGGUGGAAAAAAUGAAUACAAUGAUGUCAUUGGACACAUGCUCACUACCCGUGUGGAGCAGGAAGACAGGCAGCCUCUCCUCUCCUUUUCCCCAUAUGGGCUGAAUAUAAUGUUGGUUGGUAUGUAUAUAUACAGCUACAGUCUGGAUGUGAUGGGGAGGGGGUCGGUUUAGGCAGGCGGAGAGAGAGAGAGAGAGAGAGAGAGAGAGAGAGAGAGAGAGAGAGAGAGAGAGAGAGAGAGAGAGAGAGAGAGAGACAGGUGGAUGGGUAGAUGAAGAAUGACCUCUCCUCUAACACUGGUUUGUGAGAUUGCUAAUGAUGCCAGGACAGCGGGCUGGAGCCUCCACUAAUCAAAGGUCCUGAGACAAUAGAACCUCAAGGGGAGCUAUUUAAAAGAGAGAGAGAGACAGAGAGAGAGAGAGAGACACACAGAGAGAGAGAGAGAGAGAGAGAGAGAGAGAGAGAGAGAGGAAGAAAGGAAGAGAAAGAGAGAGAGAGAGAGAGAGAGAGAGAGAGAGAGAGAGAGAGAGAGACAGAGAGAGACAGAGAGAGAGAGAGAGACAGAGAGACAGACAGACAGACGCCUUUCAUCUCUGUUAGUGUGCUUUAUGAAGGCCCCAAAAAAAUAUAUAAUAAUAAUUGACUUACAAUUCCUACCUACAAUAAGUUAGAAAGUAAUAUGUUUUUUUUUUGAUAAAGUAAGUCGACCAAUCAAAUUAUUUUGUAUUUACCUCUUCCUUGUUAAUGUUUUUUUUAUUUAUUUUUUUUAUUUUAAUUUUAAAUCAUAUAUUUCAUAUUAUUUCCAGUUGUAAAAUGUGUUCACACUGUCUUGGCCCCCCUUUUCUCUUUACCACAAAUUAAAAAAGAGAAAGAAAUAAGGAAUUCACAUUUAUAGAGACGCUCAACUGUUGUGCAUCGUGCGAAGACAAACAUGUUCUGAGGUACUGUCGUCAGCGUUGUUCAUCAAACUGAUCAUCCUCAAAGAUUCUCCCAACACAUAGCAACAACUAGACGAAGCCAAGAUCAAACCAGACACUUUUUUAUACAAAAUAGCAAUUUUUCCUUCCUUCCUUUCUUCAAGACUGAGAAAUGGUAAAAUAUGACAAGAAAUCAGUCAAUAAAAUUAAAUUGUUAAUGACAGAGUGGCUUGCAUGUCACAAUUCAUAAUUGUUUGAAUAAACUCUUUUGAAACAAGUCUUUUUUUUUCUCCUCUGAAUAAACAGAAUAUGUUGUUGAUUUUAUUCAUGAUUGAUGACACAGAUUCAACCAGAAUCUUCUAAAGGGUACUAAACAAGUCCCCCUGCAGCCCCUUUUGUGACGACUGGUGCUCGGGGGGGGGGGGGGGAGAGUGUUCGUUUUACAUGGGUGGGACAACGAGUCCGGACAUCCCUAGAAGAUAAAGAGAUGGGAAAGACAAACACCUUUAACAUCACAGUUCGGUUCGUAUAGCAAUAUACAAUGCACAGAAAUGUACACAGAGUGGAUGGGGGGGUAGUGGGAGAGGGUUUAGGGGAGUGGGGGGGGGGGUAGUGGGAGAGGGUGUAGGGGAGUGGAUAGGGGUGGGGGGGUAGUGGGAGAGGGUGUAGGGGAGUGGAUAGGGGUGGGGGGGUAGUGGGAGCGGGUGUAGGGGAGUGGAUGGGGUUAGGGGGGUAGUGGGAGAGGGUG
ensembl:lncRNA